UAGGCCUUCUCCUCUCCCUGCAG
rnacentral:miRNA from 1 species